rnacentral:rRNA from 1 species
UAAGACGAACCGUGCGAACGUUGUUCGGAAUCACUGGGCUUAAAGGGCGCGUAGGCGGUCGGGCCAGUCCGGGGUGAAAUCCUGCAGCUCAACUGUAGAAGUGCCUUGGAUACUGCCCGGCUCGAGGGAGGUAGGGGUGGGUGGAACUUCUGGUGGAGCGGUGAAAUGCGUUGAUAUCAGAAGGAACGCCGGUGGCGAAAGCGACCCACUGGACCUCUUCUAACGCUGAGGCGCGAAAGCUAGGGGAGCAAACGGGAUUAGAUACCCCGGUAGUCCUAGCCCUAAACGAUGAGCACUAGAUUGCAGACUAGUCAUGGGUUUGCAGUCGAAGCAAAAGUGUUAAGUGCUCCGCCUGGGGAGUAUGGUCGCAAGGCUG